GCAUCGAUGAAGAACGCAGCGAAAUGCGAUACGUAUUGUGAAUUGCAGAUUUUCGUGAAUCAUCGAAUCUUUGAACGCACAUUGCACCCUCUGGUAUUCCAGAGGGUAUGCCUGUUUGAGCGUCAUUUCUCUCUCAAACCUUCGGGUUUGGUAUUGAGUGAUACUCUGUCAAGGGUUAACUUGAAAUAUUGACUUAGCAAGAGUGUACUAAUAAGCAGUCUUUCUGAAAUAAUGUAUUAGGUUCUUCCAACUCGUUAUAUCAGCUAGGCAGGUUUAGAAGUAUUUUAGGCUCGGCUUAACAACAAUAAACUAAAAGUUUGACCUCAAAUCAGGUAGGACUACCCGCUGAACUUAAGCAUAUCAAUAAGCGGAGGA
rnacentral:rRNA from 1 species